AUGCCUGCGCGCUGCCUCUCUGCCGCGAUCUUCUCUCUGGCUCUGUGUGUCUGCCGGGCCGAUGAGAUCGACCAGUGGCCGGGAUCUCUCAGCGUCCGCCUGGGGGCGACGGCCGAGAUGAAGUGCCUUCAGAAGGGACAGCUCCGUGAGAACAUGCUCUGGUACCGCCAGCCGUCCACCGGCGGGCUGGCGUUGAUCGGGUCCGUCUAUCUCAGCAGCGAGGCCCGGCUGGAGGAGGGCUUCAAGAGCGGGUUCGUCAUCACCAGGGCAAAGGAGAAUAAGGAGUCUACCCUCCAGGUAGAGAGCGUGAAGGCCGCGGACGUGGCGACCUAUUUCUGCGCUACUACUGAUGGCGCACAGCGUUGUAGAGAUACUGGGCGCCAAUACAAAAACUCCAACAGGUCUCCCUGCAGAGCAACUCUGCCAAGGUUCCGGGAGCAGAUCGGAACUAGGUAUAGAACGGGAACUGGGUGGGCCAAGGGGCCUUUUACUUUGCUGCAGGUGUUCUCCGUCUCAUGGCUAGGAUUGGAAUAGAUUUAUCAUUGUCACGCCACCGAGAUGUAGUGAAAGGCUUUGUGUGCAUGCAGAUGAAAUCAUUACACAGUGCAUUCAGGUCGAACAAGUUCCGUCGGAUGUAGAACCGGGCAACACAGAAACAGGCCCUUCGGCCCACAAUGUUGUGCUGACCCAGCUAAAAAGGAAAUGGAAGCAACUACCUGUAUUUGUAAACAAUACAGAUCACUUUGUAGAGAUCUGUUUUCACUUUCACACGGAAGAGGCUUUUUCUGUUGAUGAAGGCCAAAUUAACUCCACUGCGAUACAGUUGAUACGUAUCCGCUGAGCGGCAUUUCUGCGCUGGUCGACGAAUUCUUCAUGGGAGACGUCCGCAGACAGAGGCCAGGCUGGUUCAAUGUGACUGGAAGGCGACGGUUACCCGGAAAGUUCAACGUUACAACAGCCGUGUGCAGACGAGCGUCUCUGAACGCACAACACGUCGAACACUGAGGCGAAUGGGCGACAGCAGCAGAAGACGAUGAGUCUACACUCAGUGGGCAGUCUGUUGGGUACAGCAGGUAUCUAAUGACGCUGAUAUCAUACCCAGUGACCUGCUUACCUGGCUAUCUGAAGCACUUUCCGUGCAUCCAGCCCUCCACCAAGUCUGCUAAUCUCUCUCUCUCUCUCUCUCGCUCGCUCGCUCUCUCCUUCUCCACAACAGAGAAAGACAGAUAGAUAUACAGAGAAUAAGCGAGACAGACAGAUAGAUAAUAUAGAUAGAUAGAUAGAUAGAUAAAUUAGAUAGUUAGAUAUAUAGAUAGGCAGAUAUCUAGAGAGAGAAAUAAACACAGAUAGACAGAUAAAUAGAUAGCUCGAGAGGGAGACAGUUAGAGAGAGAGAGAGAGAGACGAUCACUGGUAGGUGGACUGAUAUCUAGAUGAAUAGAUAGAUAGAUAUGUACAUAGAUAGAUAGAUGGAUAGAGGGAGAGUUAGAUAAACAAAUGGAUAAAUAGAUAGUGAGACAGACAGACAGAUAGGUAGAUAGAUAGAUAAAUAAAUUGAUAUAUAGACAAAUAUAGAUAGAUAGACAGAUAGAUAGAUAAAGAGAUAGAGAGAGCAAGAGAUAGAUUAUUAUUGGUACAUAGACAGACAGAUAGAUGAAUAGACAGAU